rnacentral:rRNA from 1 species
UACGAAGGGGGCUAGCGUUGUUCGGAAUUACUGGGCGUAAAGCGCACGUAGGCGGAUAUUUAAGUCAGGGGUGAAAUCCCGGGGCUCAACCCCGGAAUGGCCUUCGAGACUGGUGGUCUUGAGUUCGAGAGAGGUGAGUGGAAUUCCGAGUGUAGAGGUGAAAUUCGUAGAUAUUCGGAGGAACACCAGUGGCGAAGGCGGCUCACUGGCUCGACACUGACGCUGAGGUGCGAAAGCGUGGGGAGCAAACAGG